rnacentral:rRNA from 1 species
UACAGAGGGUGCGAGCGUUAAUCGGAAUUACUGGGCGUAAAGGGCGCGCAGGCGGUCAUGCGAGUGUGAUGUGAAAGCCCCGGGCUUAACCUGGGAAGUGCAUCGCAAACGGCAUGACUGGAGUAGAUGAGAGGGUGGCGGAAUUUCCGGUGUAGCGGUGAAAUGCGUAGAGAUCGGAAGGAACGUCAAUGGCGAAGGCAGCCACCUGGCAUCAUACUGACGCUGAGGCGCGAAAGCGUGGGGAGCGAACAGG